GACGAACGCUGGCGGCGUGCCUAAUACAUGCAAGUCGAACGCAGUGGGGACGGGUGAGUAACACGUGGGUAACCUCCCAUCAGAGGGGAUAACACUUGGAAACAGGUGCUAAACCGAUACUGAUGGAUGGACCCGCGGUGCAUUAGCUAGUUGGUGAGGUAACGGCUCACCAAGGCCACGAUGCAUAGGCGGCCUGGGAGGGUGAUCCGCCACACUGGGACUGAGACACGGCCCAGACUCCUACGGGAGGCAGAAGUAGGGAAUCUUCGGCAAAGGGCGAAAGUCUGAACGAGCAACGCCGGGUGAGUGAAGAAGGUUUUCGGAUCGUAAAACUCUUGUGUUAGGGAAGCGGUAUCUAACCAAGAAGCCACGGGUAACUUCGUUGCAGCAGCCGCGGUAAUUC
rnacentral:rRNA from 1 species